AAGGAUUGUUAUUGCGCCAGAAACUGACUCCCGACCCUAACCCAGGUUCCGACUCUCGACCCCUGAUCCCAACCUGAGAUUUGAUUGUCAACUCCAACCCAACUCCUGACCUCGACAUCGACCCUGACUCCCAAACUAAACCACGACCUCGAUCGAGAUCCGAUACCGAACCCCGAGAUCUGACUACAGACUCCUGACCUCAACUCGGGACCCAACUACCUGACUCCUACCCCGAUCCAGACCCCAACCCCAAGAUCUCACUACACGCCUUUUCUUCUAGAAUCUAGUCUAGACAAAUAUCUAUAAUUUUAUAUUUUUAGCUAUUUCGAUAGAUGCCACUCCCAAAAAAAAUAAAGAGGAGUCGUUUUUUUUUUAAUUCUCUAUAUAAAUAGUCCUUCCCGCUCACUUGCCAGUUCUCUUCCAACUAGCUCUGUGUAAACAAACGAUCGACAAUUGCCCUUAAUUUCCUUCUGUGUGUAAAGCCCUGAUUUCUCUCUGCUUUCUGGGAAAAUGGAUCCUUCAAUUUCAGGUUCUUCUUCUUUUUCUUCUUCUUCUGAAGUUCUCUUCCAAAGCUCCAUCAUUUCUUGAAAAUCAAUCCUUUGAUUCCAGGUUCUUGAAAGAUUGUGUGAAAUUGGAAUACCAUGAGAACUCUGACAUUCCCAAAGCUCCCUCAUUUCUUGAAAGUUAGUGUGAAAUUGGAUUAUGUUCAACAUUUCGAAAUACCCCAAAAAUGAAAAUAAUGUAACUUUUUAUUUUUAUCUAUUAGUCGAAUCUGAAAUCCAUUCUAUUUGUUGACAGAAGACCAAAAGACUAUAGCUUCAGAUGGUAGUGGUCUUCUCUAUGUGAAGUUUGAGAGGCAUUGUUUG
rnacentral:lncRNA from 1 species